rnacentral:rRNA from 1 species
UACAGAGGGGGCAAGCGUUGUUCGGAAUUACUGGGCGUAAAGGGCGCGUAGGCGGCCUUCUAAGUCGAACGUGAAAUCCCCGGGCUCAACCCGGGAACUGCGUCCGAGACUGGAAGGCUCGAAUCCGGGAGAGGGAUGUGGAAUUCCAGGUGUAGCGGUGAAAUGCGUAGAUAUCUGGAGGAACAUCGGUGGCGAAGGCGGCAUCCUGGACCGGUAUUGACGCUGAGGCGCGAAAGCGUGGGGAGCAAACGGG